GUUGACGGUAUUUAACCAGAAAGUCACGGCUAACUACGUGCCAGCAGCCGCGGUAAUACGUAGGUGGCAAGCGUUAUCCGGAUUUAUUGGGCGUAAAGAGAGUGCAGGCGGUUUUCUAAGUCUGAUGUGAAAGCCUUCGGCUUAACCGGAGAAGUGCAUCGGAAACUGGAUAACUUGAGUGCAGAAGAGGGUAGUGGAACUCCAUGUGUAGCGGUGGAAUGCGUAGAUAUAUGGAAGAACACCAGUGGCGAAGGCGGCUACCUGGUCUGCAACUGACGCUGAGACUCGAAAGCAUGGGUAGCGAACAGGAUUAGAUACCCUGGUAGUCCAUGCCGUAAACGAUGAGUGCUAGGUGUUGGAGGGUUUCCGCCCUUCAGUGCCGGAGCUAACGCAUUAAGCACUCCGCCUGGGGAGUACGACCGCAAGGUUGAAACUCAAAGGAAUUGACGGGGGCCCGCACAAGCGGUGGAGCAUGUGGUUUAAUUCGAAGCUACGCGAAGAACCUUACCAGGUCUUGACAUCUUGCGCCAACCCUAGAGAUAGGGCGUUUCCUUCGGGAACGCAAUGACAGGUGGUGCAUGGUCGUCGUCAGCUCGUGUCGUGAGAUGUUGGGUUAAGUCCCGCAACGAGCGCAACCCUUGUUACUAGUUGCCAGCAUUAAGUUGGGCACUCUAGUGAGACUGCCGGUGACAAACCGGAGGAAGGUGGGGACGACGUCAGAUCAUCAUGCCCCUUAUGACCUGGGCUACACACGUGCUACAAUGGACGGUACAACGAGUCGCGAACUCGCGAGGGCAAGCAAAUCUCUUAAAACCGUUCUCAGUUCGGACUGCAGGCUGCAACUCGCCUGCACGAAGUCGGAAUCGCUAGUAAUCGCGGAUCAGCAUGCCGCGGUGAAUACGUUCCCGGGCCUUGUACACACCGCCCGUCACACCAUGAGAGU
rnacentral:rRNA from 1 species